AGAGAAAUGAUGGAAAGAUGAAGUUAUGAAGACGUGAGAUGCUGGCAAGAGGAACAUGAAUAACUGCCUGAAACUGACACUGUUCUCCAAAGCCGGCUGUGGCUCCCCUGGAGGUGGAUGAAAUCUUAAAGGAACCCAUCCAUGUGGUCCUGAGUGGCAACCUUCCUUCACUGACAAGAAGAGGUUCUCCUAAGACUGGGCAUCUGACCACACAAAAAACUUGCCUUCAAAACAAACACAUCAAGUCAAGCAUCUUCUCUGAGCACCUUGUAAACCUGAAAUCAAUUGUCUGAAGAUCGCAGAAGCCAGGCCUGGAUGUCCAUGGUUGUCAGAAGGAAGAUUCCAGAGCCGAAGUGGAUGUUUCUGCUAAUCUGUGAGCACACAAUUAAUUCGCAGGCAUGAGGCAGUUUGGUGCCCUUCCCUACCAGCGCUGUGCACACUAAUGA